ensembl:lncRNA
UGUUUUGUUUUUGUCUUUUUUUUUGCCUUUUCUAGGACCGCUCCUGCAUCACAUGGAGGUUCCCAGGCCAGGGGCGGAAUCGGAACUGUAGCCGCCGGCUUAUGCCAGAGCCACAGCAACACAGGAUCCGAGCGGCGUCUUCGACCUACACCACAGCUCAUGGCAACGCUGGAUCCUUAACCCACUGAUCAAGGUGAGGGACCGAACCCGCAACCUCAAGGUUCCUAGUUGGAUUUGUUAACCACCGCACCAUGAUGGGAACUCCUAAAAUAUGUUUCUAAAUCUAUUUUCUCUCUAAAAAUACUGAGAACAUUUUACAUGUUAUUAAUGUUAUGAGCACUGUUUCUAAUGAUUGCUAGUAUAUUGCCAUAUGGAUCCAAGAUAAUUUCAUUUAAAAAUUCCCUAUUGUUGGACAUCUAGGCUAAUUCCAAGUGGUUGCUUUAAUAAACCAAAUUUUUAAUGCAAGAUUUUAAAAAAGAGGAUAUGUAUGUAUGUAUGUAUUGUAUUUGAAUGCCCCAUUUGUCUAGCAUAUAACCACCAAAGUCUCUGCAUUUCUCUUUCCACCUGCCUCUUCCCAGUAGAUUUUCUGUAGCCUUCCUCAUCACAGUGGGCUUCCAAGAUCCAGGACUAUCUUACCUUAGUAGCCAAACUGUGGCUAUGUGUACAUGUUUAUCUUCUGAUUGAAACAAAACAUACAGAGGAAAAAAUGCACAUCUAAUUUCAGUUCAAUGAUUUCUCAUAAACCACAUACACCCAUGUAUCCAGCACUCAGACCAACAAACAGAGCAUUGCCAGAAUCCCAGAGGCAUCCCCACUUAUGCUCACUCUAACUCCUGUCCUAACUUCUAACAUUAUAGACUGGCUUGCCUGAUUCUGUAUUUCAUGUAAGUGGAAUUGGACAGCUCAUAUUCUACAUUGCCUGAUCCCUUUGCUCAACAUGACACUUGAGAUUCAGCCAGGUGAAUCUCACACAGACUCACCCAGGUGUGUAGUUGUGGACUAUUCAUUCUUAUGGUCAGUAGACUGUUCCACAUAUGGCUUGGAAGUGGUUUUUUAACUUUCCUCUUUUUCAGAAGUAGAAACUUUCUUUGACAUGAAAACUCAUGGGGUGGGGGGCGGGUUCCAUGUAUGAAACACCAAAGAGGAGAGAAAUUGUGCUGGUAAGGAGCAAGGGUGGAAGGCCUGCAUCACCACCUAUGACCUCCCUUUGCCACAAACCACACUCAGUGCAAUGAUUAUGACUGAUUUUUACUUCCACCGUAUAAUUUUCUCUAUUCCCUAAUGAAAGUUUUAUAAACAUACACAGGUGUGCAUGUAUAUAUCUGCAUUACCUUUAUCCCAUGGCUGUAUCAUCCACUUAAAUGUUGGUUAUCUACAAGUCUCCCCAAAUUAUAUAUUUCUCACUUCAGCUCGUACAGCCAUGACAGUUGUGACAAAUCCAUAUCCAGGUCUGGGAUGGGAAGCAGUCUAGGGUGAUGUUUACAGAGAGUUGACAUCAGUCAAGAUACCAGUGUGGUGGUUCUGAGUAUCUAUGGGCCAACGCAGUACGCCUCUUUAAAAGGGGGUAAAAAUGGCAUCCAAAGUCAACCAGGGUUGACACUGGCAUUUCACCGGGUGUCUGCCAUCAUUGGAGUGACAAGAACAGAUCUGUCCUGUAGAAGGAGGGCUCUUUCAUGGGGAUGUGAGAAAAACAACCCACGUGCAGUGACUGUCAUCCCUUAUAACCAAUUCAGCAAUUGCAAUGGUCAAAUUGGAUGUGUUUUUCUUGGCAUGGUCAAGCUAAACUUUUGUCAUUCACUAAGCAGACAUCCACCAAAUUAGAAACAUUGGGACAGGCAAUUUCUCUGAUGUUUUGGUUUCAAGAGGACUGAUCUGUAAUUAUUUCUCCAAACAAAAAGAAAGUGUUUGACAGAGACAUUUAAAGACCUAAAACAACUUUCUUAUAGGAAACACAUGCUUCUUCUCCAAAUUAAAACACACCAUUAUGCUAAUAGGAGGACACUCAGCAAGUGGAAUUUGCUAGGGAUUUGUUGUGGGCAAGGAGAGCACUGAGAGGGCGAUCAGAAGGUAAGAGACAACUGACUUUUGUUAGCUGUCCUGAACAGAUGCCAAAAGAGAGAAGUCCAACAAAUGUGUCCUUAAAAUGACCCUAUUAUACACACUGGGUAAGUAUCUCUGUGCUUUUCAGAGAGAGGACUGUACAAAGCUGAGCUUCAGAAAACACACUGAGAAUGAAAUUCUGGUUUGUAUUAGUGCCUUCUCACCUAGUCCCUAUAUUGGAUUAUAUAGCUCUUUAGGCUCAAAGGCAACUAGAUUUGUAUACACAUGUGGGGGGUCUUUUGUAACUUCUGUGGUUCAACCUGAUGUAAGGACACAAACUCCAGUCGUUUCUCAGAAAGCACUUCAUAUUCCCUCUCAUAUCCCUUCCAUCUUCAAAACCCAUCACGAUCUCAGCAAUAAAUGGAAAGAAAUGACACAUCCACACGAACACACUUGGGGCUUAAGAGAUACUAGGAUUUGGAAAUGAGGCAUUUAUAAAUCACAGUGAUAGUGAGGAGGAAACUUUUACAAUUAAAUACUUUUGAUAAUGAGCAGCACCAGGCCUGAUAAAAGCAAUGAAUCCUGGAUGCUUCAGUAAACCUCUAAAUUAGUGUGCAACUUAAGGGGUGGUUUCAAUUGUCUGAUGGUGAGUAGCCAGAAAUGCAAAGGGAAAAGUGCGAGAAGGAAAGUUUUGCCAAAGUCAUGUUUUCUUGAUUUAUAUUUUAAAUGAAAAUUAAGAAGAAUACUGCCAAGAAUUUUUUUUCUAUUUAUCAUGAACUCCUAUAUUUCCUAACAUCACCAUUAGUCUUAGGAAUCUCCCUCCAUACCUUAUCUGACUCUAUCCAAACCCCUUUUGCUCAAGGGCUAGUCAUGGAACAAAUCUCCAAGAUCAUCAGGGACCCAGAACGUUUUUGGGUUUGUUUGUUUUUAAGGUGUGUUUUGCUUUGUUUUUGUUAGAAAGAAUAUUUCCUGCCCAGUCCAUCUCCCAAUAGCUUUCAGUUUGUUUCCAUUCCUAUAAGUAUCAUCCACUUUCACUUAGCACAUUACAUCAAAUGUAAAUGGCAUCAGAAAGGGACAUCACUUUAACCUCUUAUCAAUUAUCACUGCUUCGGUAUGAAUCAGGCUAUCUGACUAUUUCUAGAAAAAUUCUUCAUUCCCCCCAACCACCAGGCAGCUGUCUUACAGCCCAGUUUUUCUGAGCACUUUCUAAUUUCAUGCAAUUACUCCUUUUAAAAGGAUGACUCAUUAAACUUUUACCCACCUAUCAUUUUAUUUGUAUACCUUCAUAGUAUUUUACAUAAAUUGAAAAUGUCAACCCCACAAAAGAUCUUGCUUCAAAGCAUGUGUCUUGCAUUUUCAUUCUGAAUGUAUAGCACAGGCCCAGGGAGUUUGCAUAUCCCCAGCUUUUAGCAGUCACUGGGCUACAUCAGAGUAGUUUGCAUACAUGGCCCAACUCCCUCCCCAGACGAUGUGUUCCGCAGGGCAAAGUCCACUGUUGGUGCUCCAUCAAUGUUUCUCCAUGAUUAGUGGAGAACCAGAUUCUAAAUGGAACACUGAAUUUGGAUUUAAGAAAUAAAUGAACCCAACAAUGUGUGCACUGUCCUGGGUAAAUGUGAUCUGAUGUAGAGACUUACUGGAGAGAAAGUGGUCCAAUCAACUAUGACAGCAGGGCACUUCUAAAGCAGUGGUUCUCAGCUGGGGAUGCUUCAGCUCCCCAUGGAUCCACUGGCACUGCCUGGAGACACUUUAUGGUUGUCACAACUGAGGGAGUGCUAGUGGCCUCUAGUGGGUAGAAUCCAUGGAUUCUGCUAAACAUCCUCUGAUGCACAGAACAUUUCUCUUCUCUUUUAUUGGAUUCUUGCACUGAGGGAGGCUGAGUGAAAUGGCUAAGUGGCUAAGUGGAGCAGAUCUGAAGGAAGACAACUUCAGAUAGGGCUGCUCCUUUUCCUGGAAUGGUAUUGCACCUUAACUUGAGGAGGUGACAUCCAUACCACAGACUAAGUGAAUAACAACUGUCCUGAAGAUGUGCAGUGCACAACCUGCACUACUGGACUCUCUGGCAUGUGGGUCUAACUACCCACCCACUUCAUUCAGGUGGGUCUUGAGAAAACGAACAUCCAGCUUCUACAAUAUAGGAUCAGAUAAACAUGCACUUUACAUGCACUUUCCUUUGAAUGUGCAGUGUUGAAUCUAUCAGUUUCAUGAAUUCAAUUUGCUCAGUCAAUAUUACUAACAUCCUCCGGCAUUCAGCUCUGGCAGAAGGUACUCUUCCCUCCCUGAUCACUGGGACAUAAUAGAGAUUCAUUUCCCUUCUGAAAGGAAGCUCUACCAAGAGGAAAGGGAAAGAGAAUGUGUUUUGUCACCUCUGAGCUACAACCAUUGUAUUUCUCUAAAAGCAAUCAUCUUUAGACCUUAUGAUGGCAUGUGCAGGACACGGCAUAGUGUUUGUUUUAAUCGGAGUGCUUUGUCGAUUCCACCCCAUAUUGUAUUCAUUCUUCUCCAGAAAUCUCACCAAAUCAAGUUUGAUUUUUCCUAUAAAAUGACAUUUGGCUGCACAAACAUGCUCAACCAUAUUGAAGGGCACAGUCAAGUACACCAGCAUUUCAGUGAUACAAACCCAGCCCGGAUGAGAAACAUCAGAAGCCUUCAAACUCCCUAAGCUUUCCCCCCAAGGAGUUCAAAAGGUCUAAUUCUUUCCCACUUAGGUCUUGCCCAUUCCCAGCUCUGAGCUGGGAAAGGAGAAUGCAAGAGUUUAUUUUAAAUUAUAUUUGGCUUUAAAAACUCACUAUGUUUUCAAUUCUGAGAAUGAACAAAAGAGAACUGUAGUUAUCUGAAAAGACAGAAAAAAGUCUGUUCUCUCUAAAUCAUGUUAUGAUCUGCAAUUGUUUUGUUAUUACUACUACUAACUCUACCUCGUGUACUGUUAGACAAGAUAUAUUAUCUAGGUAACUUACUUGACCUGGGGGAAUUUCUAUUCUAAAACAGCAAAUAUUGAUGUGGAUUUAAUGGAUGUUCGAAUGAAGUUCAGCCUUUCAGAGAUAAGAUGUUUAAUGAUAUAAAACUAUCCAGUUAAAUGUGGAUACAGUUGAUAAUAUGCUAAAAAAUUGAUUUUAUUGAUAACACAUAUUUUCAAAACUAAACAUAAAACUAAGAGCUUGCUUUUUAACCAAAGGCUAAUAAAUUAAAAAGGUUGUUUCUAAUUCUUAUAGUAAGAUUAAACUUCAGAAAUUUUAUAUUUCCCACCCAGAAAACACAGUCUCUUAACACUUUUAAGAAGCAAAAUUUCUGAGGAAGGGAGGCAAGACUUUGAUAAAAACCCUUAAAAAUGAAAAGGACAAUAAUUGCGCAAUUAAUUAAAUUGAUAUUCUUUUUCUGCCAUUUUGAGCAAGUGUGCUAGUUGUAACAUUAAUUAUGACAAUGAUAUGACAGUUACUGCCUAAAAUAUGAGAUUAUCUAGACUACGUUUUGUGUUUUUCCUUAAAGAGGCAUAAAAUGAAUAUGACAAGGAGCUAUUACUAAUUACUAUUCACUUAAGGAAAGAUUCAUGGAGAAGAAAAGCGAUCUUUUAGGUUACGUCCAUUCAUAUCUACCUACUUUAAAAACUAAUAUAAAAGGAGAGAUUGGAUCAAGAUGGUGAAGGAGUAGGAUAUGGAGCUCACCUUCUCCCACAAAACUAGUAUGAAAGAAUUAAACUUUUGUUUAAAAAUGAUGCUUUUGGUUGCUUAGUCAAUUGUACUAUCACACCAUGUAAUGAUGGACACAAAAAGUUUUCUCUUGAGCAAUGCCUUCCAGAACAAGACCAGCAAAGAAAUGGCCUUUGAAGAAGAGAU